rfam:Sodalis glossinidius str. 'morsitans' DNA, complete genome.
GCCUGACGCCUGAAAGGGCGACGGUGCAAGCCGGAGCGAGAAGUCAGCAGAGGUCGUAGUAGCCGCAAUCUAGGCGAAGGGC